UACGUAGGGGCCUAGCGUUGUCCGGAAUUAUUGGGCGUAAAGAGCUCGUAGGCGGUUCGGCAAGUCGGAUGUGAAAUCUCCACGCUUAACGUGGAGGGGCCAUUCGAAACUGCUGUGACUCGAGUCCGGUAGGGGAGUGUGGAAUUCCCGGUGUAGCGGUGAAAUGCGCAGAUAUCGGGAGGAACACCAAUAGCGAAGGCAGCUCGCUGGGACGUUACUGACACUGAGGCGCGAAAGCGUGGGGAGCGAACAGG
rnacentral:rRNA from 1 species